rnacentral:rRNA from 1 species
UAGGGAAUCUUCCACAAUGGGCGAAAGCCUGAUGGAGCAACGCCGCGUGUGUGAUGAAGGGUUUCGGCUCGUAAAACACUGUUGUAAGAGAAGAAUGACAUUGAGAGUAACUGUUCAAUGUGUGACGGUAUCUUGCCAGAAGGGAACGGCUAAAUACGUACCAG